CUAGACGGCAUUCUCUGAACUUGAGGAGCCCUCAGAGUGUAUAAAAGCACCUAUACAAUCUGUUGCUUAGAAGGAAUUUCAAAGAUGACAAACUUCCACUGAUGCUACCAAUGGAACAAUCCUGAUCUUGAUGAAAAAUUUUGUAGUAAGAUAUAUAUCAGUCACAGUGGUCUCAAAGAGCAAUAUGGACAGGGUGAAACAAUUAAUUAUGGGGUUUAUUACUGAAAUGAAUAUUCAUGUGAGAUAGUCUUAGGGAAUUUACUGGAUACAGGUAUCUACUGUUUAGUUUGGGGUUUUUUUUGUUAAAUAUUUGAUCUAUUCCAAAUAAUUGAAUACAGCAAUCCAAAAUUCAGAAUUCUAAUAUCCCUUGUAAAGAAACAGUUCUGCAAGUUUGAAAAGUACUUCCUUGCAUACUACACUAAGUUCCUAUACCAUGCUACUGGCAUAAUUUUCAUCAAUCUUUUCUAUGAAGAAAGGGUGAUAAGAAAACAGUUUAUGGUUGGGGCAGGGGGGACGGCUAGUGUUAGUCUCAUGUGGUUAAAGCAUUGGUUUUGAUCUUUAGAAGAAAUAAGUAACAGCUAAUGCUAAUUGAGCAUUUAAUGGCCCUAUGAAUAUCAAGAAUUUAAAGAUCUACUUAUGCAUACUGAUACUGCUAAUGACAGAAUAUUCAUGCAUUCAUCAUGAAAAAAAUCAACCCUGAGAAAAUACCUUCUCCACUCCAAAUUUAAAAUUAUUUUUAAAUAAAUAGUUUCCCAGUGAGGACUACUACUCUACUCUAUAGUAACUGGAGGAAAAAAAAAAAAAAUCUGUUUAUUCUGCCUAAAGGGGCAGAGCAAGGGGGUCUUGCAUAUUUUGACAACACUCUUCUAGGCUUUCAGAUAUACAACUUUCAUCUGAAAUUAAUUUUAACUCAGUUUUGGGGGGGGAUUCCAAAUUUUUUUUGUCAACUACAAUAAUCUUGUAUGACUUGUCACUGUCUAGUUAUCAGUCCUUAUUCUCAAAGCUUUCUGUAAUAAAGUAUUUAGUCAGGAAACUGCUUGGACAUCUAUCAACAUAAAAUUAUAUUAUUAUUGCUCUUGAUAAUAAUAAUGAUAUUUUAAAAUAGGUAGAUAUUAUAAUUUCAUUCAUUUUAAUAUAGUCUUUUUCUGAGUAGUGGAAAUUAGCACAGUUGGACUUUGCCCAAGAAUAAAAAACCUGCCACUUCCUGCAUUUAGUGAUUUUUUAAAAAAUCGUCAUUUUUAAACCUCAGAAUAGAGCAGUUCUGUGAGUUUACUCAGGCUAUACACUUUAUCACAUAGGGCUUACAGUAAGGAUCUACAAUUUAGAAAUGUCAGAUGGGUAACACUGCUGCCUUUCCAGAGGUUACUACUGAAGAUAAUAUCAGUGCAGCAGUAAUUAUCCUCAGGAUUUUGUGUGGCCUUUCUGAAGUGUACCAAUUAGUGACACUUCAGCCUGAAAAGAGGUGGAACUCCGAUCUGGCAAAUUAACUUGUUGCCAGACAAUAGGAAAUUGUUUGUAUUUCCUGGUCAGUUACAGACUUCCUUAGGUAAUUGAGAUUCUUAUCAAAUGUCUGAAGUCUGCACCAAAGCUACUUUGGUGGGCUUGGGAAAGGAAAAAUAUAACUUGGAGCUUCUGAAUUUACUCUUUGCUCUGAGAUGAAUUGUCUCUGAUAUGAAACUCAGGACAUUAAGCAUGCGUUCAGAGACUAUAUUCAGGAAGCAAUCAAGACAGUCAUUUGUGGAGGUAUCUCUGAAGGUAUCUACUCAUUUUUCAGCUGUGAUUAAAAAUUAGAUACAAUGCUGGCGUUCAUAUCAGAGAUAUUUCAUCUCAGAGCAAAGAGUAAAUGCCUGCCCUAGGAUGGCUGUGUUCAGUUCAGGCCUCUCCAUCUCAAAACUACGCAAGAAAUGUAAAAGACAUUUAGAGAUAUGAAUCAGGGCUCUGCUUGACACACAGAGAUGGAAUAAUAUCGGCUGACUGACAAAGUUAUCAUCUCUAUCUGUCUGUAGCACCGACGGUGCACGGUCAGCUCAGAUGCUCAUGAAUCAGCUGUUUUACAACACAGCAGCAGUUUAAAGUAAAACAUAAGCUUGGCCAUCCUAUAACUUCUCUGCUUGUCAGUCAGAUCUUUCAAACUAAUUAGGAGCAUAUGAAACUCCCGUGUGAAGCAAGAUUGAAAAGAUCAAGACUCCUUGCUUGAUAAGGAGUGGCACAAGUGACAAAUGAAAGAGAACAUGGCACAAUUAUACAUGGUAGUGAAUACAGAGAGACAUAAACAUGGAUGUUACCCCUUCUGACCAAAGGAAAGCUGAGGAUGGCCUGAUGACAGGGAAAGGUGGCUGUUGCAGAGAGAGGGAAGGAAACACCUUGCCCUGCAAAAGCAAACACAGAAGAUGACACAGGAAGUGGAGAGUGACACAGGAACAGAACUUGUUGAUCAUCAUUGUUUUGAGGGCCCAGGGAGAUUCAGAAGAAAAGAUUGGAAAUAUAUGUAGAAAACAACAAAAAUAACAUUGGUCAUUAAGUUAAUAAGUUAAUAAGCUAAU